GUGUCAGCCGCCGCGGUAAUACGGAGGAUGCGAGCGUUAUCCGGAUUUAUUGGGUUUAAAGGGUGUGUAGGCGGUUUAUUAAGUCAGCGGUGAAAGUUUGAGGCUCAACCUUAAAAUUGCCGUUGAAACUGGUUAACUUGAGUGUAGAUGAAGUAGGCGGAAUUAGUGGUGUAGCGGUGAAAUGCAUAGAUAUCACUAGGAACUCCGAUUGCGAAGGCAGCUUACUAAGGUACAACUGACGCUGAUGCACGAAAGCGUGGGUAUCAAACAGGAUUAGAUACCCUGGUAGUCCACGCAGUAAACGAUGAUUACUAGUUGUUUGCGAUAUGACCGUAAGUAACUAAGCGAAAGCGAUAAGUAAUCCACCUGGGGAGUACGCCGGCAACGGUGAAACUCAAAGGAAUUGACGGGGGCCCGCACAAGCGGAGGAACAUGUGGUUUAAUUCGAUGAUACGCGAGGAACCUUACCCGGGCUUGAAAUGUACAUGAUCGAAGUGGAGACACUUUUUCUAGCAAUAGCAUGUAUGUAGGUGCUGCA
rnacentral:rRNA from 1 species